GAGUUUGAUCUUGGCUCAGGAUGAACGCUGGCGGCGUGCCUAAUACAUGCAAGUCGAGCGGCAGCGAGAAUAAUUUAUUAUUUGUCGGCGAGCGGCGGACGGCUGAGUAACGCGUAGGAAUGUACCCCAAAGUGAGGGAUAAGCACCAGAAAUGGUGUCUAAUACCGCAUGUGCUCUAAGGAGUAAAGCUUCGGCGCUUUGGGAACGGCCUGCGUCUGAUUAGCUUGUUGGUGAGGUAAAAGCUCACCAAGGCGACGAUCAGUAGCUGGUCUGAGAGGAUGAUCAGCCAGACUGGGACUGAGACACGGCCCAGACUCCUACGGGAGGCAGCAGUAGGGAAUUUUCCACAAUGGGCGAAAGCCUGAUGGAGCAACGCCGCGUGCAGGAUGAAUGCCUUAGGGUUGUAAACUGCUUUAUAUGUGAAGAUUAUGACUGUAGCAUAUGAAUAAGGAUCGGCUAACUCCGUGCCAGCAGCCG
rnacentral:rRNA from 1 species